GCCCGGCAGCGACCAACUCGCGAAGAAUGCCAGCGAAGAACCUGCCCACAAACUUAGCGCCAGCAGCGACAACUCCUCUGAUCGGCUGGCUGGAGGAGCGGCGUCCCGGUCCCUGAAUGAGCAGAACAGACCUGCAAACUUGGUCUUGGUCAACUACGAGGAACUUGACAAAGUCGUUGCCGAGGGAGUGGACGAGAGCCUAGAGAAGGAUGUAGAGCCCUGCUUCAGCCUCUAGAAGCGAAAUACAGUGGCCUGCUGGCGGAGCUGGGGCGAAAUUGCCGGCAAACAAUCCGGCUGAGCGAGCGGCUCGGUGAGCUCAUCCAGGUGCAGAAACUUCCUACCGACGCGACCCAAACACCGGAUCGAGGCGCACGGACCUCCAAGCACCGGACGUCACACAAGAAACCUUGCCACUGGUACCCCAGCACUUCGUGGAGAAGACAGGUGCGAAAGGGCAGGCAAAAGCGUCUGUGGGACAGUUUCUACGAGAAAUGUGCCAGCAGUGCAGUGACCGAACACGGCCUCUGCGAGUCGGACUCUGACGGAUCAGUUGACAUCUACCAGUGUGAUCAGCCGGAAGUCCGUCCAGCGGCAGUAGCCAAGUGCCAAAGCAAACAGGCUUUCAAAGUGUCACGAGGUCGUCAUGGACGACACACUCCUAAAGACGGGCCGCUGAAUCAGAUUACGUACGAGGUCGAGCUCCGACCUCAAAUUCCGUACAUUGCCAAGAGCCCUCACGGCUUUCCUGUCAAGAAGACUAUGAGGUGCUGAUAUUGUGCAUGCUGUUCAUCUCGUUGAAGUACUGGGCACACUGCAACACUGCAAGAAAAGCUUCUGAGAUGACCCUUACGCCAUCUGGAUGGACUGAGAAUUCCUCCACAGGUCAGCAGUGCCCAGGGCAAGUCGAGCUGUCCCGGAUCGUGGUGCCCAAGCACGAGCCAAGGCAGUCGGAGCAUAACUGGUGCCUCCAUCUUAUUUUCCUCUGUACAGCUAGACAGAGCUGUCAACACUGCCGCGCCAAAAGCCUCGACAGAGCCGACAUUGGACAGUGCUUUAGCGGCAGCUUAAAAGAAGAAAAAGACUUCGAAAAAGAACUCUAAAAGGAAGGAAAGGACUCGGAAGCUGGCAGAGUUGCAAGCAUUAGACAGCUCCUUGUUCUCAGGAUGUCUUAAAAAGAA